AGUGAACGCUGGCGGUAGGCCUAACACAUGCAAGUCGAACGGCAGCACAGUAAGAGCUUGCUCUUACGGGUGGCGAGUGGCGGACGGGUGAGGAAUACAUCGGAAUCUACUUUUUCGUGGGGGAUAACGUAGGGAAACUUACGCUAAUACCGCAUACGACCUACGGGUGAAAGCAGGGGAUCUUCGGACCUUGCGCGAUUGAAUGAGCCGAUGUCGGAUUAGCUAGUUGGCGGGGUAAAGGCCCACCAAGGCGACGAUCCGUAGCUGGUCUGAGAGGAUGAUCAGCCACACGGGAAGUGAGACACGGCCCAGCCUCCGCGGGGGGGAAGAGGUGGGAAAUUUGGAAAAAGGGGCGAAGGCCUGACCCACCAAUCCCGGGGGGGAAAAGAGGGCCUUGGGGUUAUAAACCUUUUUUGUGGAAAAAAAAAACAAGGAGGUAAAACCCCGGUUGUCCUGAGGGACCCCAAAGAAAAGGCACCGGCAAUCUUGGCC
rnacentral:rRNA from 1 species